rnacentral:misc_RNA from 1 species
GAUGAAGAACGCAGUGAAAUGCGAUAAGUAAUGUGAAUUGCAGAAUCCGUGAGUCAUCGAAUCUUUGAACGCACAUUGCGCCCCUUGGUUAUUCCGAAGGGCAUGCCUGUUCGAGCGUCAUUUCACCACUCAAGCCUGGCUUGGUGUUGGGCGACGUCCCCUUUGGGGACGCGCCUCGAAACGCUCGGCGGCGUGGCACCGGCUUUAAGCGUAGCAGAAUCUUUCGCUUUGGAAGUCGGGGCCCCGUCUGCCGGAAGACCUACUCGCAAGGUUGACCUCGGAUCAGGCAGGGAUACCCGCUGAACUUAAGCAUAUCAAUAAGCGGAGGA